CUUAGAGUCAGAGGCAGUUUGUUGAUUUGAGAAAAUUGUUAAAAUGUUUUGCACUCACACACAAAAGCUGACGGAAUCC